rnacentral:rRNA from 1 species
GACGAACGCUGGCGGCGUGCUUAACACAUGCAAGUCGAACGGAAAGGCCCUUCGGGGUACUCGAGUGGCGAACGGGCGAGUAACACGUGGGUGAUCUGCCAUGCACUUUGGGAUAAGCGUGGGAAACUGGGUCUAAUACCGAAUAGGACCACGCGCUUCAUGGCGUGUGGUGGCAAGCUUUUGCGGUGUGGGAUGGGCCCGCGGCCUAUGAGCUUGUUGGUGGAGUAAUGGCCUACCAGGGCGCCGACUGGUAGCCGACCCGGGAGGGUGACCGGCCACACUACUACUGAGAUACGCCCCAGAAUCCUACGGGAGGCAGCAGUCGGAAAUAUUGCGCAGUAGGAGCAAGCGUGAUGCAGCGACGCCGCGUGAGGGAUACCGGCCUACUGGUUGUAAACCUCUUUCACCAGGAACGAAGCGUACGUGACGGUACCUGGAGAAAAAGCACCGGCCAACUACGUG